CAGCAACAGAAGUGAAUGAUGACCGAACGCCGUUUCCCAUUAAGCUUGUGGGUUUGCACGUAGGGCCGGCAGUGUAGUGCUUCCACAAAUUGCUGUUGGGGAAGGAUGACACGGCGGCGGCGAGAGAGCAGCCGUCAAAGGCAGCGCCCAGCAUCUGGCCGCGACUACUACCUGUAUUCUAGCAAGAAACACGCCCGGUUUUCCCUCUAGUCAUAUGUCAUGCCGCGAACGGCGGUUACAGCUCCUUUUCUGUGUGCACGUUCAGCCACAAACACGGAAGCGGCACCUUCUACGGUUCCGCUUCCAGUUCUUGCUCGGGUACCGCAACUGUCUUGGGCUGAGUUUCAUGCGGCGUAAGGCUCUCUCCCCAUCGCGUGACACUUUGCAGUAACUAAGCGUGUUAUUUGGCCUUUUUCCUGUUUAUGGAAACCAUGGAAUAUUUGGCGGCAUAACUUUCUUGGCAAUAAUGUUGGUGAGCAUGCACGGGUGGGAUCUGGCACUCCCUGUCUCAACCGCUGGUGAAGUUGACUUUGCCGGGAUUCAGGGUGACAUCAGCAGACACUGCAACAAUUUUCCCGUUCGCGCUACCCUGAAAAGAGAAAUCCAUGGAGGCAUGCAAGUGUAGAUCGAUAUAGCAUAUAACAGACCCGUGCUACCGGACUGUCUAGAAAAUCCCGGGUAAUUAUUGGUUGUGUUGGAUUUCUGGAACCCUUCAGACACGAAGGCGACACUACCAGCUCAUCGCGAUUCUAUCGUUUUCAUGUACGCUUGUACUGGGAAAUCGAAAGGAAAUUCAUCACAGAUUCGUUUGUCCAAAAAAUGUGUCUGCGUCAAUGCAUUCCUUCUGAAAUAUCUCUCGUGUCAGAUUGAUAUUAGCAAGCUCAGCAAUCACAUGUAUGCGGUCUUGAUGGUUUCAGAAAAGGAAACAGAUAGAAGUGAAGAAUGGACACUGGCACAUUUUUCGCCUUUUCCCUCAAUCAGUUCAGCUUUCUCUUUUCUUGUGAGGAAUGUCGAACGGGUAUUUCUAAAAAGCACAAGCGAAUAUCUCCAGAGUUAAUAUACGACGAGAGCUUUUUGGGACAGAACAUGAAAAGUCUCUGAUGGAACUGAGAUUAUUCCAACACUGACAGGGGGGAAGGGUGUUGAGGUGGCAUUAUGUUCAUAAAGAUGUUUCUGAUUUAUGAAAAGCCAAUCUUCGUAUGGAACAACCCUUCCUGUGAACCGUCCAGCAACAAGUGGCGUGUUUUCCAUCGGUCCGGGACUCGCUCUGACCGAUAGUCUGUUGCUACAUUUUACUUCGGACCUUGUGAGUGCCCAUUCAGUCAGCGAUUCGCACGCUGUUCCGCAGUAGAAUUCCCCACAUUAAAGAGGAAUGAAUGCAGUUACGACAUUGCCAACGGUAGCCGGCAGUUUGCGCCAUUGCGGUGUAUCAAGUUCUUUUGGUAAAGUCUUUUUAGUAAACUCCGGAAAAGUCGGCCGAACCUCGUCAGUAGGAGUCUCAUAAAAGAUAUGACGACUCGCUUAUAGAUUCUCCUGUCGUCCGCAAUCGUGAGGAAGGCAUCCGUUAUUACGAGCGUGUGUAAGGCAUUCCACUGAAGUCGAUCAUGGUCACGCGCAUUGCCAGUGCCAUGGCUGCACGUACAGAUGCAUACAGUGGCGUAACUGAGAUGUUUGGAUUUCGUGGUGGGCACACGCGAGCAGGUUUAAAUUCUUCCAUCAACAAGGGGCACGCGACGAGGCAUGAAGGUGCUGUGGCCCCUUGUAGUGACCAGCUCGCGGGACCUGCAUGUGGUACGGAAGCAGAAUACCAUGUACCUGCCGUCAUAUCCGCGCAAACAAGGAAC
rnacentral:lncRNA from 1 species